AGGUUAGAAGUGGAAGUGUGGCGACACAUGUAGCGGACUAAUACUAAUAGCUCGAGGACUUAUCCAAA
rnacentral:rRNA from 1 species